rnacentral:rRNA from 1 species
GACGAACGCUGGCGGCGUGCCUAACACAUGCAAGUCAAACGGAGAUUUCAGCAAUGGAAUCUUAGUGGCGAACGGGUGAGUAACGCGUAGACAACCUACCUUCGAGAUGGGGACAACACUGCGAAAGUGGUGCUAAUACCGAAUGUUGUAACGAACAUGCAUAUGCUUGUUACUAAAGAUGGCCUCUAUUUAUAAGCUAUCGCUAGAAGAUGGGUCUGCGUCUGAUUAGCUAGUUGGUGAGGUAAUGGCUCACCAAGGCGACGAUCAGUAGCCGGUCUGAGAGGAUGAACGGCCACACUGGGACUGAGACACGGCCCAGACUCCUAUGGGAGGCAGCAGUGGGGAAUUGUUCGCAAUGGGCGCAAGCCUGACGACGCAACGCCGCGUGGAGGAUGAAGAUUUUCGGAUCGUAAACUCCUGUCGAAUGGGACGAAUGGCCUGGCCGUGAACAACGGCCGGGAAUGACGGUACCGUGAGAGGAAGCCCCGGCUAACUCCGUGCCAGCAGCCGCCGUAAAAC